rnacentral:rRNA from 1 species
UACGAAGGGGGCUAGCGUUGCUCGGAAUCACUGGGCGUAAAGCGCACGUAGGCGGCUUCUUAAGUCAGGGGUGAAAUCCUGGAGCUCAACUCCAGAACUACCUUUGAUACUGGGGAGCUCGAGUCCGGGAGAGGUGAGUGGAACUGCGAGUGUAGAGGUGAAAUUCGUAGAUAUUCGCAAGAACACCAGUGGCGAAGGCGGCUCACUGGCCCGGUACUGACGCUGAGGUGCGAAAGCGUGGGGAGCAAACAGG